UACGAAUGGAGCGAGCGUUGUUCGGAAUCACUGGGCGUAAAGCGUACGCAGGCGGUCAUGAAAGUCAGAAGUGAAAUCCCAGGGCUUAACCCUGGAAUGGCUUUUGAAACUCCAUGACUAGAGUAUUGGAGAGGUUGGCGGAAUUCCGAGUGUAGAGGUGAAAUUCGCAGAUAUUCGGAGGAACACCAAUGGCGUAGGCAGCCAACUGGACAAUUACUGACGCUCAUGUACGAAAGCGUGGGGAUCAAAC
rnacentral:rRNA from 1 species